GGAUCUCGGAUAUUCAGCUCGUCCAGGUCCUCCUCCUCCAGCAGCUUGAACGUGUCCAGGUCCUCGUAGCCGUUGAACAGGAAAGUGGGCAUGUGCUCCUGUGAAACAGAGACGCCGCUUACACGUGCUUUGAGAUCAACAAGCCUUUUUACUUGACAGAAGACGGACAUCUCUGCGGCCGAUAUCUUCAAAAACUUUGCAACUCACAGCAGAACCAUGUAGAUGGAUAAACAGCACUACAGAUCCCAUGGAGUAUUUCUCUGCUCUCUAUUUCUGUAUCUGAGGGGGAAAGGCUGUUGAAAUCAUGGUGGGAAUCAGAGAGGAGAGACUUCCUACCUAAUCAUUACCGCAUGUUUGUCUGUCUGCCUUUAUGCUUGUGCAUGUCCUAAGGCUUCAGAAUCGCUGAGCUCGGGACGACGGAGGGUAUUUAUCCACAGAGACGUAACGGACACAACAGGUUGAAGUAAUCAGAGGUUUUAAUCAGAGAUUUGCCCGAGAGGUCGUGGCGCGCUCCGGAAAAACUCUGUGAGGUCACAGAGUGCGAGACGGCUGCCGUGACAGGUUGUCAUCAGGAGGGAGAGAUUCGUUAUCGCUCCGCAAAAAUCAUAAUUGGUGCGCAUGUAAUUCCAGAAGCAUGCAGAGGUUCAGUCAGCUGCAUCUGAAAUAAACAACUGGGGGAAGCAAAUGUUACGAGCACCAUCUAGUGUUAAACAACGCUCAAAACACGCUGGGCUGUACGCCAGACUACAAAUAUUCAGAUUCCCUUUAAUUACAUUCAGUAUCUUACAUAUGUGUGACAUAAAAGGUGCUUCAAGUUCCCCUCGACUCCAUUAAAAAAACAUCACUCUCACACACCAGGAGUGCCAUUUCUGAAACAAUAGUUC